ensembl:lncRNA
UCUUCCUGGAGAUUGCUCCUUGUGGAGUUUUUACGAGCCUACAACACCGCUCUGCCGUGCCUGGGUGGAAAUGCUGGAGCGGACUGAGAGCAGAGCAUGAUGAUCCCAAAUGGGGAAGUGUACCUUUGUCAGAUGGAGGAUGAUGGAGGGAGUCUUCCCUUGGUGGUAUCACCAUCUCAGUGAUGUAUUUCAGUGACUUCAGUAGACAUCUGCAGAACUCAGGACUGAUUCCUAUUUUUUUGUUGCAGCACAACUUUCACACCAACACUUAGUGGUUCCUGAGCAAGUGCUGCAGUAGAAUCUUUGGAGAUAACCCCAACAGCACAAGCUAUUUGUCAUCAUUUGCCAGUAUUGUUCUGUGGCACAGAAAGUGCCAACAGGUGCCAUUUAAGAUGCUUCUCUCUCUGACAAUGCCUUUUUAAUAGCUGCCGAAUGAUCCCUGCUGCCCUUGCAUAGCCAAGCCAGCUGGCCGUAUGUAUCCCAAGGCUGCGACUCCAUCAGCAACUUUUAAAUUAAAACUCAAAAACUGGUGUAAGUUCACAGAAGAGAAGAGCAUUGAGUGUGGGGGCUGCUAUCGAGAGGCGAGAGCACAGAUUUUUCAGCCAACUCUGGAAGGCCUGUUGUUCAUCUGCCAGUGCAUUGUUCCAGCCUGAGAAUGGGCAGCCUGCCAUUCUCACAGAUGGGCGGAAGAGCAGGCUGGAAGGAGAUGGGCAUUGCGUGUCAAAUGUUUCUGGUAGUGAACUGCAACCUGGGAUCUCCAGAUAACAGCGCUUACAACAAGGGCCUGUAGUUAUGGGCUAGUUAAGGUGUAGAUGAACAUGUUAUGGAAAACGGAGACAAAUGUUUAUUCUAAUAUGGUAAGUACCCAGAUACAGUAACUCCUGACAGACAGCCAAGCUGUGGGAGACUGAAACUGUACACCAAAAGAUCUGGGGUUACUGAAUUACUUUAGAAAAUGUCUUCAGUGUGAAUCUUUCCUCUGCACAGGCCCUUCCUCCUUGAGUGCCCCCACAGGGAUAAGCUCAAAGGCAAGCAGCACUUAGAAGGCUGUUUAGUUGGAAAUUGCAUUUGUGAGACAUUUUUAUGUGGAGGGCCCACAGCAUUUUGGUGAAAUAAAAUGCCAAGUUAAUAAACGUG